rnacentral:lncRNA from 1 species
AUGAGCCAAAAUAAACCAUUCUCAGAAGAGAUUGUAACGUGAGGUAAAGGCCAUUGUAACGCCAGUGAAAUGCAGCAGGAAGGAACAGAAUGAGGCCUGCUUUUCCUUUUUGUCUCUGCCUGGGCUCAGCAGCUACCAUGUCCAAGCAGGGAACAGAACGGGCACUAAAAACAGAACACAGCAACCAAGAUGUCUGGGAACAGCUAGAGGCAGGGAAAGAGCCCAUCUCUCUGCUGACAGGAUUCACCUUCGUCCUUCACUGUCAUGUUCAGACUACUCCCCAGCAUCAUUGCCCUUUUUGGAGAGAACACCUAAAAUAUGCCCCAGAGAGUAGUUCCAAACACCCAGCUUUCACGUCCUCUGAAGCUGGGUCCCUCCCUUCUUAGGCCCUUUCCAGGACUUGAGCACACAGCUCUCCUCAUGAGACAGUUCUAGGACAUGCGUCACAAUGGGAAACAUGGCACUUCUUUGCCAUCCCGUUUGCCCUGCCCUUCCACCCACAGAGCCCCUUUGAUACCAACAUCCCUCUGAAGAAGGCACCAUCUGUACUGAAAUAAAUGAGGAGUCCUGAAGUCAUUCUACCUCCUCCACUGACCUUGUCCAUCCAAGCUCAGAACAAAGUCUCAGAAAGUGGAUGCUAGUGGGUAUAAUCCAGCCCCAGGGGAAGCUGCGGGUCCUGGAAGCCUUCCCACCCCCCACCUUUCCUCAAGGUAAGGAGGCAUAUGCCUGUGUCCUAGAUCAAGAGAUACGUGGAUUUGCUUCCACAGGACAUUGGUAACAGGCCAGACUCUCUGUGGGAACUUACUGGCAGCUGGGCAAGGUGACUUCUCUGAUGAUCCACAUUCAAGCAGAGUUUGCCACAUGAGGGCCACAGCACUAUUAUCCAUGUAGCUAUGAUGAUUAGCAUCUACUGUUGCAUUCAUGCAUUCCACAUCCAUUGACCAUGUUUUUCUAGUGUCAAACAUGUGCCACACACACAGUAGUAAAAAAG